rnacentral:rRNA from 1 species
UACGUAGGGGGCAAGCGUUGUCCGGAAUUAUUGGGCGUAAAGAGCUCGUAGGCGGUCUGUUGCGUCCGCUGUGAAAACUCGGGGCUUAACCCCGAGCCUGCAGUGGAUACGGGCAGACUAGAGGUAGGUAGGGGAGAAUGGAAUUCCCGGUGUAGCGGUGAAAUGCGCAGAUAUCAGGAAGAACACCCGUGGCGAAGGCGGCUCUCUGGGACGGUACUGACGCUGAGACGCGAAAGCGUGGGGAGCGAACAGG